rnacentral:misc_RNA from 1 species
UGGUUCUGGCAUCGAUGAAGAACGCAGCGAAAUGCGAUAAGUAAUGCGAAUUGCAGAAUUUCCGUGAGUCAUCGAAUCUUUGAACGCACAUUGCGCCCAUUGGUAUUCCGAUGGGCAUGCCUGUUCGAGCGUCAUUAUCCUCUCUCAAACCGCCCUGGUGGUUUGGUGUUGGACCCAAGUUGUCGCGCUUGCUGCACAACUGGUCUCAAAGACAAUGACGGCGUCCGUGGGACCCUCUUCGCAACGAGCUUCUUCGGAGCACGCGUCGAGUUUCAAGGACCUUCCGGGCCGGUCUCCCCUUUAUAUUUUACAAGGUUGACCUCGGAUCAGGUAGGAAUACCCGCUGA